GUGUGUUUUUGUAAGGUACGAUCUCUGACAUAAGUUCAAUUACAAUCGCCAAUGACGACUCACAGCACCAACAACUAUGAGAACAUAACAGCCGCGCGUAUGGUAUUUCACUUUUUGCUCUGUUCGUUUUGCACGCGACGAUAAAAUAUUCAUACUGAAUGCGUUUCUCGAGUUUAUUUAAACCGGAGGGAAAACUACUGGUGUUUGACAAUAUUUCGCGCUCUUGUCGUUAAACACGAGUUUCGAGACUCGUACUACUGGUUGUUUCAUCUUUGAUGAGAAAUUUUGUUUGCUUACAGGAGUGAGAAGAAAAUUUGAAAUUAUAUGUUAAAAAUUAGAUACCAUUAAUAUCAACGAAUCGAAUAAUUUAUGCAAAAACCAACGUGUGUUUUUUUAUACAAUAAUUGACGAUUUUGCGCAUGGAAACACAAGUUUAUUCAAAAUAAAAGUUAACAACGUGUUAAGAUGAUACAAUCGAUUAUAGUUCCUUAAUUUUCAAAAUACUAGAUACUUUUUAAGGAUAUGUAUCACGUGCAAAUGACGAAAAAUCAGAUAAAGUUAUAGCGGAUUUAACGAAUAAAUUUAAUAUGAACAAAUAAUUUCGAAAAAUACUAAUUUAAUGUUCAACUCUAUUGAGAUUAAUUAUUGUUAUUAAUUAUUGUUAUUAUUAAUGUUCAUGGGACUAUCGAUGAUGAAACAACCAAUAUAAUAUGAAACGCUUCUAAGUACCAACGUCGCGCGUCACCUUUUGCACUCUGUUAAUAUCAUGCGACAAUGCAGUUAACGUUUCACGAUGUAGUAGAGGAGACAAAGUCAGCAGUGCGCUCUGCUCGAAACCGCGUAAUUUUCACAUUGAAAAUUUAUUGGAUAUUUCCCCGUGUUUCCCGCCUAUCACAAUUCCAGACCAGAAUUCCCGGAGUUGAAAUAAAACGUGCGUCUAUUGUGAGGUUGUCAGCGUUUUCUUAAACGUUAAGAUGAGAACUUUCGAGUAUUUCCUGUCCUAUAAAAAUUUCAUCUUCUUGGAUUUGAGUCCUUCUCAAGUGAAUUGGAAUUUUCUAUCGUUAAAGGAUUUCUAAAAAAUUCGUAGAAAACAGAAUUGUUCUUAAUACGCGUGAUUUUCCGUCCCGGAAUUUCACGUUGAACAUUUUCUUCAAUUGUUAAAAAUCAUCGCGCUUGUGAGCGUGACGACGAUUGAGAACAAAUUUGGAGACCGGAAAAGAGCUAAUUACGCUUAAGAAAAUAUAAAUUUGCAUAAAUAUCCGCGGUCUAUCUAUUGAAGAGAAAAAAAAGAGAAGAAGAGGGAAGAAAAUGAUAGCAAAAGAGAGAGAGAGAAGAUGGAGAGCAGAAGGAGAGAAAUGGAGAUGCAACUGAGAAUCCCUGUCCGGUAAUAUUGAUAGCGGACAAUUACGCGUGGGCCGAGCCGCAGAUGCGCAAAAACGCCAAGAAUAGAAGCUCGUAGCAGCUAUAUCUAUGAUAGACAACUUUAGAAUCCAUCAAAUCCAAACUUCGUGAUAAGAAUCUCCAUCGUUAUUCAAGCCCGAAGAAACACACAUAAAAGAAAAAAUGAAAAAAAAAAAGAUGGAACACACGAAACACGUUUCAUCGCUGUUAUUUUACCAAUUAACGCCUCGUUAAUCUUUUCUAAUAUCUUGCAUAGAGGCGUUAAAUACCAAUAGCACGAACAACAUAAUAAGAUCGUGUUUUCUGAAUCAUCUCAAGGCGCUUCAUCUAAGCGACUGGUAAUGCAAAUUACGAAGAUUAAUGAACGUCUACCGACGUAUCUGGUCCGCAUAACGAUUUCAAGCAAACAAGCAGCCAGAUUUUUAUGUUUCAUGGAAAAUUACUGACAAAUUCCAUGGUGCAAUUUUCCAACCGGUCUACGUGAUGUCAAUACGUCACGUACAUCACACUCUGACGCGAUGCAGAUAAUAAAGAGGAUUACUUUAUCAAGAAUUUAAUCCUCUGUACUUAACUGUUCUCUCCAAAUACGGGAUAAACGUAUAGAAAAUUCAGUUCGAUGAUCGUUAAUAGGUAGAAAUAUGGAAAGGUGGUAAAAUCGGUCGGCUGUUAAGCCACAAAGGCUGUUGCAGGUGAAAGUUUACUGUGCAUUUUUCUCUUCAAUUAUAAAAUAUUAUAUAUAAUUUAAUAAAAUUAUAGAUCAGUGAAAUCAAAUGUUUUGUUAUUUUGUUUAAUCGCGAGCUCUUAGAGGCUGUUAUGGGUGAAACGCACGCACCAUUACUGCGUCACAUUUUGUUUAAAUUAAAAAAUUAAUAUAGCUAAGCGCGAUGAAAUAUUUUAUCAUUAUUCAAUGCAAUAUUUGCAGCUUUUACGAUAUUAUUACAACUAAAUAUACAUCCUAUUCCAACAAACAUUUAUUCAUUACAGCAAACUUCAACAUUGUUGACAUGACAUGAGUCAAUAUCCAAUAAGAUAAAAGUUGAGAAAGAAAAGUAAUGUCGGGGUCUAUACAAGUGUAGCUCUAACUGAGAUUAAUACAAUUGUUAGUGCUAUUUUAUUUAUUUGCUUUAUUUUACGAUCUUAAUAUGUUAUAGUUUCUUAAUCUUAUCUUAAUCGUUUCUAUUCGCUACACAAAGAAUUCGAAGAAUUUAUCAUCUAAUAUUUAGUCGUUGCUCGAGCUACAACUGGACAAUGGAGGUGUCGAAUUGGACCUUCGUUGCUACGUGAAACGCGUAUGCAAGGUAUCCGCGAUCAUUUAGGAACAAUUAGACCGAGAUAUUUGGAUAAUAGGAGAGCUGAAACGACAGCAGCGGAAAUUUUUAGAAAUUCAACUCUGACGAGAGACAACGAUCAUAUCUUAUUUACACUCGAUCAUUGUUUUAUCGUCGACCAGCUGUGUUUUCAGAGCUACACACGAUUUCGCACGCUAACGAACGCACGAUAAGGAAAGUGUGACUUGCAUACAAUUAAUAGGCACAUGCUGUUGUAUUUUGAUACUGUGUGCAAAUUCGUAGUCUAUACGGACAAUUUAGAUUUCAUUUUCAUGGAUUCGAUAUUCGUUAAAAUGAUCAUUCUAAUAAAAAAAAAUACUGCAGAUAAGAAAACGAAUAAAGAAAUUACUUAAUCAACGUUUACUUUUAUAAAUAUUGUGUGACUGUGAAUUUAUAGCUCGUACAGAAAAUUCCAUUUUUUUAAUUUUUCUUUAAAUAUUCAGUACACGUAAUUUCGGCGAAAAAUCGACGCGAAUCGACAAAAUCAUUAUCGACACGACUUUAAUUCCAGCGUUAGGAGAAAAAAGAACUGAAUAAAUGAUCGCAUUUUACGAGCGAAAUAAAUCAACAUAUGAAGAACCAUCGCUAUUCCAAUCAGUUUAUUAAACACAGUCCAAUCAAUCCUUGUUCGAGAUUUCAUAGCUUUUUGAAUAACAACAAUGGACGAUCGAUUGAUCAUUCAAUUUAAGCAACGCGCUGCUUCAAAGCGAAAUUAACUUUUUACACGUAGUUUCAAUCUCUUUGAUUAUUAGCCUUUGAAGUUGCUUGCCGCUGGUAAAGCACGUGCAUUUUAUAUGUAAGUAUAGAAUAUGAAGCAUACUUAAUUUGAUAUUUAUAAUACAAUGUACAGCGAGGCACAUGAUUGAUCGCCUAUAGAUACCCAUAGACAGUGAAAGGGUUAAUAACAAAUCAAAUUGCACAUUAGAAAUUGACGAACCAUAAAGAAGAUAAGGCAGGAAGGAACAAAAGGUUCGUAUGGGAAGCUCAGAGUUUUAAUUCAUAAUGCUAUUAGUUUAUAAUUUAUAAGCGUUUAAAGAUUUCCGGGGAAUCUGUGAAACUAUUUCUAAAGAAAAUGUGACACAGACAGAAGAACAGUUCUGCUCCAUUUUGGACUAUUAUUUCUACAACGUCAGGAAUAUUUGAAGGAAUUCGACAAUCAUUAAUUCCACGAAUGAAAGACUGCAUUCUUGCAGAGGGAAGAAAUCUCGAACGUUCAUUACAACUGCCAUGAAACAAUCAAUGAAAAUAUUUGCACUUGCUUACAACUGCUUGUAAAUCCUUACAGUUCUACGAUAAAGCAUUUUCGAAAAAGAGUUGACACGAGCAUUUUCUAUCUUUUGACGUUAUUAACGCAAGUUUCCUCCCGAUCUUACACAGCGUUACUCUCCUCUCAAUACUUCAUAUGUCGAGUAUUUUAUAUUUACCACUAUUUAUUACACAGAUCUGGAACACGAAUCGCACUUCAUUUGCUACAUAUUAUCGUAAUAGAUGCAGCGAGCAAUAUAGUUGAACGAACGUCUCAUAGACGCUCGUAAUAGACACUGAAAAGGUUAAUAACAAGUCGGACUACAGAAUUCGAAAUGAAGGAACGUUAUAUCUGAAAUCACAAGCAACAGAUGGCAAGGAGAAACGAUCGGAGGAAUGCAUUGUUUAUCCUGCCCGUGUCCAGCGACGUGUUACGGGCUGGCGCCAUGGUUCUCGCUAGCCGGGCAAUUUUAGCGAAGUUUCGUGGAGCUAAUGGAACGAAGAUGGAAUGUUGGCACGGUUCCGAGAGAGCGAAGGUGACGCGUUCCAGCGUGUCCUCGGACCACGGUGUGAAACAACUCGAGGACGGAAACAUCGUCUACGGCGACUUGUUUUUGGAAACACGACGGAGGGUUCGCGAGAGGCUAGAAUCCGCUCGUUGCUCGCGUGUUCUACGUCGAUCGUACUUUAUGCAAUCCUCACUUGGUAUUUUCGAGCGAUACGAGCAGAGUUUUGGAAGCAGAGCUUUUGAAAAAGUUUGCAGAGGGAGAAAGAACGUGAGUUCGAGGGAAGAAGAACGUGGCCAUUGAAAUAUGGCUCUAAGAAUAAUUAUACCGAGAUAUACACGUGUUUAGAAUGAAAUGACGAGUGAGAAUCUUUAUCGUCUUUGAUGUCGAUCUUUUCGAUACCGAUCUUUUCCAUUCCUUUAAUUUUAACGUUGAUCGUAAAUUUAGUAGCGUAGUUUCCUACAGAAAUUGUCUACAGUGACUAAUGCUGGUCCAAGGAAUACAUAUUUGAUUAUUAUUUUAUCGACACGCGUUAUGUUUAUUUUUCUUCUAUCUCGCGAAUCUAACAGGUUCUUUUCUUUUCUAGCUAUUUCGUGUUUAAAUAUUCAUCUUCAGUGAGAACGUGGUAUUGAAACUUUUUUCUAUCUUUCGGAUCUAACAGGUUCUUUUCGUUUUCAAAUAUUCGAGUUUAAAUAUUCAGCUUCAGUCACAGCGUGAUGUUAAAAUUAAAAACCUGACGGAGGUGUACCGGUCACGUUUCUGUUUCUACGGAUCUUUGUAUAUUUACGUUCGUUUUGUUCCUAUUAGAAAAUGAAUAGAAUUCGCUAAUGAGUGUCAUGCACAGAGUUUAGAAACGGACGAAGGAUAAUUUUAGCCCACGAUAGCCCUUCGCGUAUAGAUAUGAUAAACAGGGUGAGAUACGUGCAAUCGACAUAGAACAUCGACCCCAGUCAGGACCACCCACUACUGAAACUAAUCUAUUUUCUACUCCAUAGAGGAGCAGUUCAGUUUUCCAAAAGUUCGACGAGUAAUGAUUGAUAUACUUCAGGUUCGAAGUUGUCCAAUUAUAAACGCACAAUUAUGCGGCCAGUUUUCAACAUUUCCAUUGUCAUUGACGUCAAUGGAUUCACCGUUGAAAAUAACCUUGGCACAUUUGCAACAUCUUCGAAAUCUUUUGUCGUGGCUCGACAUAAAAAUGUCUCAAUGGAAAAAACAACGAGUGAAAUACGGUUACUUAGAAACCAACUUGCAUUAAUAUCGGUGUAUCGUAGAACGUUCAAACGUUAAUAUUUACAAUUAGCCUUAACCGAGGAUAGGGAUAAGUGCACAGGCUGUUCACGCUGUUGGUUAUCAGCGUUUUUCUCGUAAGUAAGCAACGAGUGUGAGGGAAAAAUGAAAGUUGGUAAAUAUGAAUGAUUCAAAAUGAGUUAUACGUUCACGAUAGUAUCUUUUUUCGCAAGCGAAAAAAUACAUGUACAUCUUGCUUGACUAUGUCUUAAAUGAAAAUCUUCCUCUCUUUGCGUACAUCGAAUCCUCUCGUCAGUCCACGAAAAAAGAAAACAUUAUGCGAAAUAUAAUAUGGUCGAAGGCUGAUUACUUUAGAACAUAUUUUGCCCUUAAUUUUAUAAAAUAUCACAUGAAAAAACAGGGAACGACGUAACGCGAUAUUCUUGUAUUUAUGUUUUCUCCAUCUUACAUACGACAGAUUCAUUUAAAACAUAAAAGCGCACGUGCAUCUUUGUACCUGCGAAAAGAAUGUCGUGAAUACGUAGUUCGCUUUGCAACAUUUUUCCUCAUACUUAUCGUUUGCGAGAAAAACCUUGGGAAUUAAUAACCUUGGACACCCUGUACAAUUGACUAAUUAUUUUUCCUCGUAUAUACCAACAAUAAAUACCUAUAGUCACAUUGUAGCUUCAUUUGAAUUACUAAUGGUAAUUAUUCGUGUAAUCUUUCCAAGUGGUACGCUUAUCUCUACUUAUAUAUAUAUAUAUAUCAAUUUUAAUUAUUCUUACAGUCUCCUGCAACAAACAUCAAAUAAACAAUAAUUGUAAUCUUGGUUUAAGAAACGAUUAUGGUCACGCUUACUAUCAUCCAAUCACUAACUACAGUAUUUUUUAUCAUCGUCCUCAAUGAUUAUUAUCAUUCAUAUUCCAUAAAAGACACUUAUGGUCACACGUAAAAUUCUUCUUCAAUGAAAAGUUCAUCACAUCGAACAUUCGACAGCGGAUACAUACACAGGCUUUAGGAAAGAGUAAGAGCGUUGUAAAAAUAACCAUUGAUUCACAGUCGUUGCUUUUAUUGCUGCAGUGAGCAAGCAGGAUUGUUCACGUGCGAUGAACAUCUGUAUUUGGCAAACGAUAUCAUCGUCGAACGGAAGCAGUGACGUAGACGAGUCGCGAGCGACCUUCCGGAAAUAAAUCGGUCACAGCGGCAUCAUCCGAAAAGCAUUUUGGUCUCAUUAACCUUCCCCCACGAUGAAAAACGAUCUAUGAGGAUCACCGCGGGCUUUGGGCGUGCGCGCGCGCGCAGACAAAGCGAUCCGAUCGGACAAACCGCAGGAAAUCGUUGAAUAUUUCUGGAACGAGAUUCACGUAAACAAGCGUCAAACAUUUUCAUGCUCCAUGAUUUGUUUGUUUUUUUAUACAAAAUUUUCGAAGGAAAUGGUCCCUAGUUAAUCUCGAAAUUAUUAAAAAUUUCAGCAAGAUUUGUAUCUUAAAGCAUCGUUGUAGUUGACAUUCGAGAUUAGACCAGUUACUUCUAAAUUGAUGUGAUCUGCGAGCUGAGAGAUCUUCGCCUGAAUCGAUUUUGUAUCGUGCACCCGAUGAUUCUUGAUAAUAAAGCUCUUCUAAUGAACAUGCAAAUUACUCUGGUAUUUUGAUACUUAAAUUUUGGAAAUCUAUGUAGCAUGGAAUUUGUCUGUCAUCUAUAAAAAAAAGAAAAAUGCAGAGAAUCCGUAUAAGAUUUGAUUUUAUAUCGCUUUAUCUUCAUAAAGAUAAACUCUUUCUGAUAAACUCUUCUUUCCUGUUUUUACAUUUCUCGUGUAGUGGCAUGUUUAUAAUGCAGUGGAUGUGAAUCAUGCCGCGAAUAAUCCGUCUAAAGACUAAACGAAUGAUCAGCUGUACGAGACGAGACGGCAGUGAGAAUCCAAAGCUGAGCGUACAGAGAACAGCAUGCACGUUUAAUAUCCACACGCGACACACGUCGGGGUAUAUUUUAGCCGAAGAGGCCGUUGGUCUGGCUCUAAAUACAGAAGAGAAUGUUCAACGCGAUUUGGGCGACGAUUAAAACCGCCCAGUGAGGUGUUCGACCGAACGAAGGGGUUCAAGAACGACGAAGACACACGACUAUUUCUGUCUCGAAGUAUCAUCGGUACGAUAUAGUCUGACGAGAAACUCGAGGGUUACGUGGUUGAUCGAUGUCGAUAAACCUGAUCUUAAGUCUCGUUCGAAUUAAUCAAGCUAGCUAACGAUAACGUUAACCAACUUUCUCUUAACGCGUUACAUUUGCAAAUUUUUCCCAUCAAUUUACAUUCUCCAAUUCUGUCUUCCACAGUCUCGUCCAAUAUCUUCUCCACGCUAUUUCUUUCAUCUAGAUUCUAUAAUUUUAUGAAAUUUAAAGAAAUCGAAAUAUGUACGACAUUAAAAAGACAAAAAUUCAAACGACACAAGGCAACUUGGAAUCCUGCGACGGGCUAAUCGACCCAUUUGAAAUUUUUCUUAUUCCCUUAUAUAAAGUUCUACUAUGUUACAAUUAAUAACAUUCCACAUUCUUGUUUCAUCAGCAGCUUCAAAUCUUACCAAAUGAUAUAUUCGAAUUUCAAGAUGGCUUUUAUUCAAAUCGUUUCAGCUCAACAUUUCCUUUCACCUCUGACAUCCAUCUCGUUAAUUAGCAUUUUCCUCCAUGCACGUCGCAACAAUAACCGCGUACACCGUAAUAUACCUAACUAUCGGCCAGUCAAUGAAGCGGCAAGAAGCGUUUUGGGACAACAAUGACGCAAAGGAAACGGUGGGUUAGGCCGCAACAUCGCGUGACAACGGUGCAACGGUAGAUCCGGAAACAAGUAGAACAAGUAGAAGAAGGUGUGGCAGACUGUGUACAAUCUAUGAGAUAAAAUGAAAACUAAAAGAAGAAAAGAACCGAUCGGCCAGAAAAAAAGAAAAGCUCGAAGGAGAUAUGCGAAAAAACAAUUGAUACGGUGCUCGGAUCCGAUGGAUGGAAUCCAAUGAUGACGACGAUGAUAACUUGGUGCGUGAACGUGACGCGAGAAAACAUGAAGAAACGUGAAGUGGAAAUGAGAAGACGAAGCUGUGCACAGCGUUACGAGCAACCAAUCGAUAAAUAUUUAAGAUGACGAUGACAACGAAAAAAGGAAACGAAAGAAACGCAAGUGCGAACGUGAGGAACAAAAUUCUAGAAGAGAAUGUUACAGUGUGUUAACGCAGUUAACACGACCGUUCGACAAAUCAAACUAUGGCUAUGUUUGACAGAGACGAACGAGUGCAUCGAACCUGGGUGCAGAGGACUCGUAGCUCGCGAGAUGAGUCAAAGAAAAUACGAAAUUAUUGCGAAGAUGCUGAUAUCGUGAUAAACGAGGAUAAAAUCAAGUACGUAUGUGUCUGUAUGAGUUGAUUCGAUGGUUGAUUACACGUAAUCACGCUGAACGAUUUUUAUAUCUUAUAAUGUGUUCUACGAGAUAAGGUUUUAAAGACUGAAUAAGAUUGUAUUAUAUUUAAAAGGAAAACGUGCUCGAAAAUUUGAAGAGUGCUUGUAGAAAACACUUGACAAGUGCCAAGAAACAAGU